rnacentral:rRNA from 1 species
UACAGGGGGUGCAAACGUUGCUCGGAAUCAUUGGGCGUAAAGCGCACGUAGGCGGUUAUUUAAGUCGGAUGGGAAAGCCCUUGGCUCAACCGAGGAAGUGCAUCCGAAACUGAAUAGCUGGAGUACGAAAGAGGGUCGCGGAAUUCCCGGUGUAGAGGUGAAAUUCGUAGAUAUCGGGAGGAACACCGGUGGCGAAGGCGGCGACCUGGACCGGCAUUGACGCUGAUGAGCGAAAGCUAGGGGAGCAAACGGG